GAUCGCGAUCAACUCUUUGAACCUUUUCUUGAUCUUUUCUUCUCUUCUUUUCUUGUAUUUUUUUUUUAAUUAUGAAGCAAUCAAGGACUCAAAAAUUAGUAAGUAAAGGAAUGCCCAAGCUCCUCGUGAGCAUGGAGAAGUGGGACGCCCAACACCUUGGGCAUUGAACUUCAAGGAGAGAAGAGAGGGAGAAGAGAGAGAGGGGAUGGGGAGCUUCUAAGGGAGGUGUGGACUGUUGAAAUUUAGAGCUAAGGAGCCUUAUAAAAGGCUCCUUUAAAUAGGCAUAAAGUUUAAAUCCUAUUCAAAACCAAACAAUCACUUAAUACAAGUCCUACAUGC
rnacentral:lncRNA from 1 species